rnacentral:rRNA from 2 species
CCCAAUNCAUGCAAGUCGAACGAACUCUGGUAUUGAUUGGUGCUUGCAUCAUGAUUUACAUUUGAGUGAGUGGCGAACUGGUGAGUAACACGUGGGAAACCUGCCCAGAAGCGGGGGAUAACACCUGGAAACAGAUGCUAAUACCGCAUAACAACUUGGACCGCAUGGUCCGAGUUUGAAAGAUGGCUUCGGCUAUCACUUUUGGAUGGUCCCGCGGCGUAUUAGCUAGAUGGUGGGGUAACGGCUCACCAUGGCAAUGAUACGUAGCCGACCUGAGAGGGUAAUCGGCCACAUUGGGACUGAGACACGGCCCAAACUCCUACGGGAGGCAGCAGUAGGGAAUCUUCCACAAUGGACGAAAGUCUGAUGGAGCAACGCCGCGUGAGUGAAGAAGGGUUUCGGCUCGUAAAACUCUGUUGUUAAAGAAGAACAUAUCUGAGAGUAACUGUUCAGGUAUUGACGGUAUUUAACCAGAAAGCCACGGCUAACUACGUGCCAGCAGCCGCGGUAAUACGUAGGUGGCAAGCGUUGUCCGGAUUUAUUGGGCGUAAAGCGAGCGCAGGCGGUUUUUUAAGUCUGAUGUGAAAGCCUUCGGCUCAACCGAAGAAGUGCAUCGGAAACUGGGAAACUUGAGUGCAGAAGAGGACAGUGGAACUCCAUGUGUAGCGGUGAAAUGCGUAGAUAUAUGGAAGAACACCAGUGGCGAAAGCGGCUGUCUGGUCUGUAACUGACGCUGAGGCUCGAAAGUAUGGGUAGCAAACAGGAUUAGAUACCCUGGUAGUCCAUACCGUAACGAUGAAUGCUAAGUGUGGAGGGUUUCCGCCCUUCAGUGCUGCAGCUAACGCAUUAAGCAUUCCGCCUGGGGAGUACGGCCGCAAGGCUGAAACUCAAAGGAAUUGACGGGGGCCGCCACAAAGCGGUGGGAGCAUGUG